rnacentral:rRNA from 1 species
AACGCUAGCUACAGGCUUAACACAUGCAAGUCGCGGGGUAACGAGAGGGAAGCUUGCUUUCCUUGUCGACGACCGGCGCACGGGUGAGUAACGCGUAUCCAACCUGCCCAUUACCACGGGAUACCCCGUCGAAAGGCGGCCUAAUACCGUAUGCAGUCGUCAGAUGACAUCAGAGGACGACGAAAGGAUUGGCGGUAAUGGAUGGGGAUGCGUCUGAUUAGGUAGUUGGAGGGGUAACGGCCCACCAAGCCAUCGAUCAGUAGGGGUUCUGAGAGGAAGGUCCCCCACAUUGGAACUGAGACACGGUCCAAACUCCUACGGGAGGCAGCAGUGAGGAAUAUUGGUCAAUGGACGCGAGCCUGAACCAGCCAAGUAGCGUGAGGGAUGACGGCCCUAUGGGUUGUAAACCUCUUUUAUGCGGGAAUAAAAUGUUUGACGUGUCAUACAUUGUAGGUACCGCAAGAAUAAGGACCGGCUAAUUCCGUGCCAGCAGCCGCGGUAAUACGGAAGGUCCAGGCGUUAUCCGGAUUUAUUGGGUUUAAAGGGAGCGUAGGCCGCAAGUCAAGCGUGUUGUGAAAUGCAGGGGCUCAACCUCUGGAUUGCAGCGCGAACUGGCAUGCUUGAGUACGCACGAGGUAGGCGGAAUUUGUGGUGUAGCGGUGAAAUGCUUAGAUAUCACGAAGAACUCCGAUUG